GACCUCGUAGUAGAUCAUGACGCCCAGAUAGAUGACGGCAUUGUGGGCGAAGACAAUGACAUUGCUCCAAAUGAACCGAUACAGGUAGAUCGAGUAUGGCAGCCUGAUUUGCUUGACGUAGGAUUCGGCACCAGUGAACAAGGCGCCAGCAUUGUUCAGGACCGUAUUGAUGAAAUUCCAGAUAAGCAGACCCAGACAAAGGAACGGCAUAAAAUCGUUUAUGGGAGUCUUGAAUAUCUGCGAAUACACAAUACCGAGCGCGAUUACCAUCACGGCCAUGCUGACAGUGAG
rnacentral:misc_RNA from 1 species